rnacentral:rRNA from 1 species
ACUCCUACGGGAGGCAGCAGUGAGGAAUAUUGGUCAAUGGGCGCAGGCCUGAACCAGCCAAGUAGCGUGAAGGAUGACUGCCCUAUGGGUUGUAAACUUCUUUUAUAUGGGAAUAAAGUUUUCCACGUGUGGAAUUUUGUAUGUACCAUAUGAAUAAGGAUCGGCUAA